rnacentral:rRNA from 1 species
AGUGAACGCUGGCGGUAGGCCUAACACAUGCAAGUCGAACGGCAGCACAGUAAGAGCUUGCUCUUACGGGUGGCGAGUGGCGGACGGGUGAGGAAUACAUCGGAAUCUACUUUUUCGUGGGGGAUAACGUAGGGAAACUUACGCUAAUACCGCAUACGACCUACGGGUGAAAGCAGGGGAUCUUCGGACCUUGCGCGAUUGAAUGAGCCGAUGUCGGAUUAGCUAGUUGGCGGAGUAAAGGCCCACCAAGGCGACGAUCCGUAGCUGGUCUGAGAGGAUGAUCAGCCACACUGGAACUGAGACACGGUCCAGGCUCCUACGGGAGGCAGCAGUGGGGAAUAUUGGACAAUGGGCGCAAGCCUGAUCCAGCCAUACCGCGUGGGUGAAGAAGGCCUUCGGGUUGUAAAGCCCUUUUGUUGGGAAAGAAAAGCAGCGGGUUAAUACCCCGCUGUUCUGACGGUACCCAAAGAAUAAGCACCGGCUAACUUCGUG